rnacentral:ncRNA from 1 species
ACGACACUCCGAAGAGUGCGGCGGCAGCCGCACGCCGAAGGUGCAACCUGCCGGAAACGGCGGGGAAUCUCUCAGGUAAUGGACGGAGGCAC